GUGAUUGUGGCUUAGUGGUAGAGUACUUGCCUUGCAUGCAAGGGACACUGGGUUCUUUCCUCAGCACCACA
rnacentral:tRNA from 1 species